CUCUGCGGCUGGCUUCGCUCACCACCACUGAAUCUCUUCUCUUUCAUUAUCUCUAUACGAAAAUAUUCUUGAAUCUGUAUAUUUGAUCUUUGUCAAGUAAAAAGCCUAACGCCGUUGUUGAGGACGAUUUGAAUCACAAAGAAAACUGCAGCUGAGGAGUUAUUCGAUAUUAUAAGUGUGGUUAGGGUUUUCAAUCUCUCGAGGAGUCGUCUUCAUCAAACCUAUGAUAAUGGUUGAGAUGAUACGUCACCUCAAUCAGAUGUUUAAGGGUUCAAGUUUCUUAAUCAACGAAUUCUUCCUAAGGAUUAGGUUUUCAGAGUACAAGUCUUCAUCAUGGCAAUUCAAUGAGCUUCUGCAAGUAUUAUGUCGGCUUUCUUCGUUGCUUCUGAUGGUAUCCUCUUAGAGAUAUCCAUCAGGUAGAGUUGAGUCGUUUGGAUGAUAGUGAUGACAACACUGUUGCAAGUACUUCAGCGAUGAACGUCAGCUUAUAAUAUAUCUCAGUCACUUUUUUUGUAGUCGUACCUAGCUAAUGCAGGAGAAGAUCGAAUAGUGCAAGUGAUGGCAUCCUGCAAUGUUUACAUUCGAGCUGCUGAAAGAUUCUACACUGAUAUGGCAGUUGAUUGACAUGGAUGUUAUGUCUUGCAAAAAUGUAUCACUUUCGCUGCAGGUGGACUCCAAGAAAAAUUGGUAGCUGAAAUUUGCGUGAACGGCCUAUUCCUUGCGCAGGAUGCAUUUGGGUUAUCCUGCACGUAGGAGUCACUCCGAAUUUGUUAAUGAAUUCGGUCUCUUAGCUCUGGAACUUAUGGACGGAGGGAAGUUAAUUACUUCAAUCCACUAUUCCUUUUUUGAGCAUUAACUCUUUUUGGUUUAUUUGUUGUAGUUAAACUCUUCUGCAGUGAAUUUCUUUUAUUGAGUUCAAUUAUUGAUUUCCUUUUUGUUUUUCUUACAUCGCAGCUAUGAUGAAUAAGCUUUGGCAACUAAAUGAUGGAUAAGCUUUGGCAGCGAAGAUUUUGCACAAGUUAAAACCUGGAAAUUUUCAUGUUAAUCAAAAAGCUAUGUAUUUCAACUUUUUAAGUCAUCUAUGCCCCAUGCCUGCGCAUAGAUUCUGAGAUAAGAUUUCUGAAUAAAAUUGAGGAUGUAGAAUAUGAGAAGCUCACUCUUAAUGUUCUCUGAUUGUAUUAUGCUUAAUGUUCAUUUUUGCUUAGUGAGAAGUGAACUGCAGUAGGAUCGGCAUAAACCUGUGCAAGUGUGCAGGUUCUCUUGGGUAUCACAGAUUCUGAGUUAGGUCUCCUAGAUAAAGUUGAGGAUGUAGAAUAUGAGAAGAGCACUGUUAAUGCUUCUCUGUAACGAUGAUAUGCUUGCGUGUCGAAGAAUUGCGAGUGUAGAAAUUUAUACUUGUAUGUUUUGGUACACAAAUGUUGUGGUGUGGAAAUGGGUAACAAUAGUGUAUUGUAGAGAAUUCUUGUAUGUUGUGAAUGUUUUGCUGAAAAGCUUGCAGAUGAAAUCUAUAAGUACUGUUGCAGGUACCCUCAUUUUGACCAGGCCAAAAUUGACCUGAAACUAUUUUUUUGAUGUUACCAAAAUUUCGC